rnacentral:rRNA from 1 species
AGUGAACGCUGGCGGUAGGCCUAACACAUGCAAGUCGAGCGGCAGCACAGUAAGAGCUUGCUCUUACGGGUGGCGAGUGGCGGACGGGUGAGGAAUACAUCGGAAUCUACUUUUUCGUGGGGGAUAACGUAGGGAAACUUACGCUAAUACCGCAUACGACCUACGGGUGAAAGCAGGGGAUCUUCGGACCUUGCGCGAUCGAAUGAGCCGAUGUCGGAUUAGCUAGUUGGCGGGGUAAAGGCCCACCAAGGCGACGAUCCGUAGCUGGUCUGAGAGGAUGAUCAGCCACACUGGAACUGAGACACGGUCCAAACUCCUACGGGAGGCAGCAGUGGGGAAUAUUGGACAAUGGGCGCAAGCCUGAUCCAGCCAUACCGCGUGGGUGAAGAAGGCCUUCGGGUUGUAAAGCCCUUUUGUUGGGAAAGAAAAGCAGCAGGUUAAUACCCCGCUGUUCUGACGGUACCCAAAGAAUAAGCACCGGCUAACUUCGUG